rnacentral:rRNA from 1 species
UACGGAGGAGGCAAGCGUUAUCCGGAAUUAUUGGGCGUAAAGCGUCCGCAGGUGGCACUUCAAGUCUGUCGUCAAAGACUGGGGCUUAACCCUGGAAAGGCGGUGGAAACUGAAGCGCUAGAGUGCGGUAGGGGUAGAGGGAAUUCCCGGUGUAGCGGUGAAAUGCGUAGAGAUCGGGAAGAACAUCGGUGGCGAAAGCGCUCUACUGGACCAGCACUGACACUGAGGCACGAAAGCGUGGGGAGCAAACAGG